rnacentral:rRNA from 1 species
GGUGCUCGAGUGGCGAACGGGUGAGUAACACGUGGGUGAUCUGCCUCGUACUCUGGGAUAAGCCUGGGAAACUGGGUCUAAUACUGGAUAGGACCGCACUUUAGUGUGUGUGGUGGAAAGUUUUUUCGGUACGAGAUGAGCCCGCGGCCUAUCAGCUUGUUGGUGGGGUAAUGGCCUACCAAGGCGUCGACGGGUAGCCGGCCUGAGAGGGUGGACGGCCACAUUGGGACUGAGAUACGGCCCAGACUCCUACGGGAGGCAGCAGUGGGGAAUAUUGCACAAUGGGCGCAAGCCUGAUGCAGCGACGCCGCGUGAGGGAUGACGGCCUUCGGGUUGUAAACCUCUUUCGACAGGGACGAAGCUUUUUGUGACGGUACCUGUAUAAGAAGCACCGGCUAACUACGUGCCAGCAGCCGCGGUAAUACGUAGGGUGCGAGCGUUGUCCGGAAUUACUGGGCGUAAAGAGCUCGUAGGUGGUUUGUCGCGUCGUCUGUGAAAUUCCGGGGCUUAACUCCGGGCGUGCAGGCGAUACGGGCAUAACUUGAGUGCUGUAGGGGAGACUGGAAUUCCUGGUGUAGCGGUGGAAUGCGCAGAUAUCAGGAGGAACACCGAUGGCGAAGGCAGGUCUCUGGGCAGUAACUGACGCUGAGGAGCGAAAGCAUGGGGAGCGAACAGGAUUAGAUACCCUGGUAGUCCAUGCCGUAAACGGUGGGCGCUAGGUGUGAGGGUCUUCCACGACUUUCGUG